AACGAACGCUGGCGGCAGGCUUAACACAUGCAAGUCGAACGGUGAAGGAGGGCUUGCCCUCCGGAUCAGUGGCGAACGGGUGAGUAACACGUGGGCAACCUGCCCCUCACUCUGGGAUAACGCCGGGAAACUGGCGCUAAUACCGGAUACGACCAGGCGCGACAUCUCGCCUGGUGGAAAGAAUUUCGGUGAGGGAUGGGCCCGCGGCCUAUCAGCUAGUUGGUGGGGUAACGGCCCACCAAGGCGACGACGGGUAGCCGGCCUGAGAGGGCGACAGGCCACACGGGGACUGAGACACAGCCCAGACUCCUCCGGGAGGCAGCAGUGGGGAAUAUUGGACAGUGGGCGCAAGCCUGAUCCAGCCAUGCCGCGUGAGUGAAGAAGGUCUUCGGAUUGUAAAGCUCUUUUGCCAGGGACGAUAAUGACGGUACCUGGAGAAUAAGCCCCGGCAAACUUCGUGCCAGCCGCCGCCGUAACAC
rnacentral:rRNA from 1 species